rnacentral:sRNA from 1 species
GAUGUACAGUUUGGUUCCUGGUGUUGUAUGCUUUAGAAGUUAAUGUCUACAAAACUCUGAUCAGAAAGAGUUUGUUUCUGAUUUCUGUAAAAUCAUGGAUUAGUGGAUGUAAUGUUAUAGCUCUGUCUAUUUGUCUGUCUGUGUAAGGAACUAUUUAUUACACCAGUGUAAGUGAGUGAGAGUGGAGGGAUCCACCAUAAUAGUUGUAUUCAGGGUGAUUGCGGAUGUAUGUUCAGAUAUAGGAGUGAAUGGGAGAACAGGAUUGACCUUUUAUUCCAAUUGAAUGUACAUAUAGAGAGAUCUGUUUGAGUGGGGUGUUUGAUGAAAAGAGUAUGAAACAUGACAGGUCUAUCUCCAACAGUUGUGUGAUCAGCUAGGCUACACUCUUACACUAGAAAUUUGUUUGUUCUGGUGCAUUUAGCAGUUUAGGUGCUUGAUAUCAUAUUCUGCAGAAAGUUUAGAAGAAAACCAGCUAGGGCAAUAUUUAGAUAUUGUUUAAAAGAUUGUUCAUUAUGUCAAUCACUGUUGAAAUUUUAGUUUAAAUACAUGAAGGUUUCAUUUUAAAUGUACCUCAGUUCAUGUGUAUAUACAUGAUUUUAUUAAAACUUGGUUGUUUUAUUCAAAGUGAAAUGAAUGUUUGGUCUUUUCUGAAAGAUUUCUGUGAUACAUACAAGACUUGGUAUAAAUGGCCUCAUUUUAGAUCUGAGAAAUGCUGGUGUAAAAUGUAUUAGGACAGUUUGUUUUAUUGAAUGUUUCAAUGCUAUGAUGAUACUGCAAUUUCUGCACAAACUUGAAUGCUCUUGGGAGGCAAAAUUCUCAUGGCAAUGUUUUAGAAUGUUAUCAAUACUGUAUUACAUUCAGAUGACAGUUUUCAAUUUUGAUAUGGUUUUUUGUAUCAUAUUGUGAUACUAUAGUCUGUUUCAAAAUAUUUAUGCAGCACAUUUGGACGAUUUUUAAUAAAAAUACACAUAUUUUUGAAAGAAGUGCAAUUGAAAUCAACGAAAGGAAAAAUAUCAACAAUAUCUUCAUUGACAGAAUAUCAAAAAAAUUCACAGGAACAAAAACAGAUUUUUAUGGGAAAUGUUGACAUUUUUUCUGAAUUUGGAAAGUCUAUCAAAAUUCGUCACACAAUUUUUUUAUGUAUCAUUCAGAUACUUUCUUGUCUGUUGCAAAAUAGAAAUCUUGGAAUUUUUUCAUACUAUGGAAUGAACAGCAUUUGAACCUUAAAGGGUUUAUAAAUAUUGAAUAUUUUAAGAAAAUGUAUUGCAUAAAUAUCCUGGAACAGAGUAUAGAUACCUUAUGAGUUGAACAUGUUGUGGAUUUUAAACAAAAACAAACCAGUACUAAUACCACUGCUAGAGAGUUGUCUUUUAGAAAUCUGUGCUUAUUGAUAUCUAUAUUUAUAGUUGUUUUGUAUUAAUUGUAGAUCAUUUGGGUUUUAGGUAUAAUUACCCUUUGAUAAGGGAAAUAACUCUAUUCCAACAUAGAUGACUGUUGCGCCUCUAUAACAUUUUCAAAGUAAAAGACAACUUCAAAC